rnacentral:rRNA from 1 species
CCUACGGGUGGCAGCAGUGAGGAAUAUUGGUCAAUGGACGAGAGUCUGAACCAGCCAAGUAGCGUGAAUGAUGACUGCCCUAUGGGUUGUAAACUUCUUUUAUAUGGGAAUAAAAUGUUCCACGUGUGUGAUUUUGUAUGUACCAUAUGAAUAAGGAUCGGCUAACUUCGUGCCAUCAGCCGCGGUAAUACGGAGGAUCCGAGCGUUGUCCGGAUUUAUUUGGUUUAAAGGGAGAGUAGGUGGAUUGUUAAGUCAGAUGUGAAAGUUUGCGGCUCAACCGUAAAAGUGCAGUUGAAACUGGCAGACUUGAGUACAGGAGAGGUGGGGGGAAUUCGUGGUGUAGCGGUGAAAUGCUUAGAUAUAACGAAGAACUCCGAUUGCGAAGGCAGCUCACUGGACUGCAACUGACGCUGAGGCUCGAAAGUGUGGGUAUCAAACAGGAUUAGAUACCCUUGUAGUC